GUAGUUGUGGCCGAGUGGUUAAGGCGAUGGACUUGAAAUCCAUUGGGGUCUCCGAAAGGUUCAAAUCCUGCCAACUACG